rnacentral:rRNA from 1 species
AUUGAACGCUGGCGGCAGGCCUAACACAUGCAAGUCGAGCGGAUGAAGGGAGCUUGCUCCUGAUUCAGCGGCGGACGGGUGAGUAAUGCCUAGGAAUCUGCCUGGUAGUGGGGGAUAACGUCCGGAAACGGGCGCUAAUACCGCAUACGUCCUGAGGGAGAAAGUGGGGGAUCUUCGGACCUCACGCUAUCAGAUGAGCCUAGGUCGGAUUAGCUAGUUGGUGGGGUAAAGGCCUACCAAGGCGACGAUCCGUAACUGGUCUGAGAGGAUGAUCAGUCACACUGGAACUGAGACACGGUCCAGACUCCUACGGGAGGCAGCAGUGGGGAAUAUUGGACAAUGGGCGGAAGCCUGAUCCAGCCAUGCCGCGUGUGUGAAGAAGGUCUUCGGAUUGUAAAGCACUUUAAGUUGGGAGGAAGGGCAGUAAGUUAAUACCUUGCUGUUUUGACGUUACCAACAGAAUAAGCACCGGCUAACUUCGUG